rnacentral:rRNA from 1 species
UCUGGAAAGGCGUGCGAUACAGGGUGACAGCCCCGUACACAAAAAUGCACAUAUUGUGAGCUUGAUGAGUAGGGCGGGACACGUGGUAUCCUGUCUGAAUAUGGGGGGACCAUCCUCCAAGGCUAAAUACUCCUGACUGACCGAUAGUGAACCAGUACCGUGAGGGAAAGGCGAAAAGAACCCCGGCGAGGGGAGUGAAAAAGAACCUGAAACCGUGUACGUACAAGCAGUGGGAGCACGCUUAGGCGUGUGACUGCGUACCUUUUGUAUAAUGGGUCAGCGACUUAUAUUCUGUAGCAAGGUUAACCGAAUAGGGGAGCCGAAGGGAAACCGAGUCUUAACUGGGCGUUAAGUUGCAGGGUAUAGACCCGAAACCCGGUGAUCUAGCCAUGGGCAGGUUGAAGGUUGGGUAACACUAACUGGAGGACCGAACCGACUAAUGUUGAAAAAUUAGCGGAUGACUUGUGGCUGGGGGUGAAAGGCCAAUCAAACCGGGAGAUAGCUGGUUCUCCCCGAAAGCUAUUUAGGUAGCGCCUCGUGAAUUCAUCUCCGGGGGUAGAGCACUGUUUCGGCA